UUAACUUUUUUUGAUUUUGCUUCAGAAGAUGGUUACAGAAGAGUUUUGUGCUUUCGGCAGGCCUGAAAAGCCCCCCCUGGGGCCGGCCCACCGAGGCAACUGUAACAAAAACACACUGGUUUGGAGUUUUUCAACCCUGUAAUGAUCCCUCCGCUGGUUCACCAACGGAGA
rnacentral:misc_RNA from 1 species